ACACCUUUCGAAUUGAUAUAGCCUAUCCUCAUUUCCAUCUUUCUAUUUCUUUUUUACAGGACAUGUUUCGCUGCAAUCUGAGACGAGAGCAUUGGUUCACUCCCGACAAUUUGGUGGAACUUGUACCUAACGUUGGUUGUAUCGUCGACCUCACUGCCACUAGUCGGUAUUACAAUCCACAGGUUUUCAUCGAACGCGGAUCCACCACGCGAAGAUCUUUUGCG